rnacentral:lncRNA from 1 species
GACUUGCUCCAAUAAUGUUUACUUCUCUGAGUAACAGUGUGAGAAAUAUUAGGCAAAGAAGAGUUACAAAGACACGAUACUGAUUUCCAACUAAUUUCUAGGAUGCCCUCUUGAGUAUUACAUAUGUAACCAGAUUCCCUUACUUUUUAUCUGUUUCAUCCAGUAAACCAGAAGCAAAUGUCAUUUCACAUUUGGGAGAAGAAAUGGAAAAAAUAUUGAAGUUUCUUUUUCUGUCUGCCCACUGAGACAUUUUCCCCUGAGAACAUGAAAUAUCCAAUUAAAAAAAGACCCAAACCCAAAUGAAGACCUGUUCCGAGAUGCUAUGGAGAAAGUAUGUCUUUUGUUUUUCAGCACUGGACAGCACAAUGACCGUAACCUUCUGGGAGAUGGAAUGCAGUAUUUUCAAUGUUUGAAAACUUGAAGAAAUGUUUCCAGGGACAUCACUUCUUCUUAUGUAUAUUUACUGAGAAGAGAAAUAAAUUCAGUGGCUUGUCAUCAUGUUGCAAUACAUAGGAAACAUUCAAAGGUGACUUAAGAUGGAAAAAAAAGGACACUUUAUGGUGGUAAUACAUAGAUAAGC